rnacentral:rRNA from 1 species
GACGCUGGCGGCGUGCCUAAUACAUGCAAGUCGAGCGCAGGAAGCUCRCGGAACUCUUCGGAGGGAAGYGAGUGGAAUGAGCGGCGGACGGGUGAGUAACACGUAAGGAACCUGCCUCAAGGAUUGGGAUAACUCCGAGAAAUCGGAGCUAAUACCGGAUAGUUCUUCGGACCGCAUGGUCCGAUGAUGAAAGGCGCUYCGGCGUCACCUUGAGAUGGCCUUGCGGUGCAUUAGCUAGUUGGKGGGGUAAUGGCCUACCAAGGCGACGAUGCAUAGCCGACCUGAGAGGGUGAUCGGCCACACUGGGACUGAGACACGGCCCAGACUCCUACGGGAGGCAGCAGUAGGGAAUCUUCCACAAUGGACGAAAGUCUGAUGGAGCAACGCCGCGUGAGUGAUGAAGGUUUUCGGAUCGUAAAACUCUGUUGUAAGGGAAGAACAGAUACGAGAGGUAAUGCUCGUAUCCUGACGGUACCUUGCGAGAAAGCCACGGCUAACUACGUGCCAGCAGCCGCGGUAAUACGUAGGUGGCAAGCGUUGUCCGGAAUUAUUGGGCGUAAAGCGCGCGCAGGCGGCCUUUUAAGUCUGAUGUGAAAGCCCCCGGCUCAACCGGGGAGGGUCAUUGGAAACUGGAAGGCUUGAGUACAGAAGAGAAGAGUGGAAUUCCAUGUGUAGCGGUGAAAUGCGUAGAGAUGUGGAGGAACACCAGUGGCGAAGCGACUCUUUGGUCUGUAACUGACGCUGAGGCGCGAAAGCGUGGGAGCAAACACGAUUAGAUACCCUGGUAGUCCACGCGUAACGAUGARUGCUASUGUUKKKGGGGUUYUSCCCCUCAWUGCKGAARCUMAMGCAUWAARMUYCCGCUGGGGAGUACGCCGCAAGCUGAAYUCACACGAUGACGGAUCGCACGUGGACAKUGUAAUCGAGCAC